rnacentral:rRNA from 1 species
GGGUGCGAUCAUACCAGUGUUAAUGCACCGGAUCCCAUCAGAACUCUGUAGUUAAGCGCGCUUGGGCUAGAGUAGUACUGGGAUGGGUGACCUCCCGGGAAGUCCUAGAGUUGCACCCU